ACAGCAGUCGCCGCGGGAAUACGGAGGGGGCAAGCGUUAUCCGGAAUUAUUGGGCGUAAAGGGUACGUAGGUGGCCUUUUAAGCGUAGGGUAUAAGGCAAUGGCUCAACCAUUGUUCGCCCUAUGAACUGGAAGGCUUGAGUGCAGGAGAGGAAAGCGGAAUUCCUAGUGUAGCGGUGGAAUGCAUAGAUAUUAGGAGGAACAUCAGCGGCGAAGGCGGCCUUCUGGACUGCAACUGACACUGAGGUACGAAAGCGUGGGGAGCAAACAGGAUUAGAUACCCCAGUAGUCCCUGUCUCUUAUACA
rnacentral:rRNA from 1 species